rnacentral:rRNA from 1 species
UUUAAAUGAGAGUUUGAUCCUGGCUCAGGACGAACGCUGGCGGCGUGCCUAACACAUGCAAGUCGAGCGAGGCU